rnacentral:sRNA from 1 species
CGUUAUUUAUAGUCAUCGCUGCUGCUGCUGCUUUCAACAACAAGCUUUAUUAUUUGACACACAACAAUCUCCACAUACCGGCAUUCAUUGUCGGACAAAUCAACGUUUCUCUUGACAAUUUCCUGAUAUGCGUGGCCCUUCCAACAGCAGCCGAGUAGCGCGCUAUACCUCUGGGUCAUAUGAUAGCAAAAGAGAUACAACCAAUGUUGCAUUUACCGAUUAUUAUAUCAUAACGUCGUUCUCAUUGGUCAUCAUCUACCGCCCAUGUGCUAAGUACUGCCUUGCUAGCACUCAUGCAUUAAUUAUUACUUUC